AUUUAAAGAUACACACAGGUAUGUCUCAGGGGCAUUGUUCUAAGAUUGCACAAAUUCAUGAAUAUGACAAAAACCACUCAAUUAAAUAUACAUUUUAAAACAGUGAACUAUAAAUUAUCACAAUCUCCUGCUUUAAAAAUACUAUGUAUGAGCCAGGCAUGGUGGCACAUGCCUGUAAUCGCAGCACUCCAGAGGCUGAGGAGGGAGAAUCACCUCUAGUUCAAGGCCAGUCUGGGCUACCUAGCAAGAUCUUGUCUCAGAUAACAACGAAAGCCCACAUGAUUUCUGGCCACACUUUCGAGGGAAGUAGUAAAUACAACCCCAACUGGGCUUCUUUCUGCCCUCUACUACUUUUCUGGGGGUUGAGAUCACCAACCUCCGUGCUUUUCUAACCGAAGCUUUGAAAAAAAGCCUUUCCUCUAAAUUCCUUUUAUCCAGCACUGGGUACACCUCUGAAAGGUUUCUGAAGCAGGCAGAUAAAACAGAACUGUUAAGUCACAUAGCUAGGCGCACACCUGUAGUCCCACCUACUAGUGAGGCUGAGGCAGAAGGAUCUGGACACUGGACUGGGGAACACAGUGACACCCACUUUCCAAAGGAAAAAAGGCAAAACAAUAAGCGAUCGCCUGAGCAUCGUCCUCCAAAUCCCUUGUGCACCAGCCGAGAAGCCAUCGAUACUACUAAACAGCUUCCACACACGUCCACGGACAAACAAGAGGUGAAGGAAGAGAAGCCAAAGACACCAGAAGCUGGCUCCAACAACAACAAUGCCAAGAGCAUGAAAGAAGUAGAGAAAAUGUAUGCCUGCUUUGCUCUCCAGGACAAGAUCCUCGAACGGCUUUUGUUCAGUGAGAUGAAACUGAAAGUCCUGGAAAAUCAGAUGUUCAUCCUAUGGAAUAAAAUGAAUCGCUGCAGGCCGUCAAGCAAAUACCAGCGUUUCCCCAGGAAGAAAUACAUACUGGAGAGGCAAAACUCAAUCUUCUCCAUCGUUUCUGAUUGUACUUCCAAUUCCCAGGCCUAAUGAGACUGAGGCAAGCCAGCCUCUGCUGAUGUUAUCUCCACUCAAUGUGUUAGUCUGGUUUGUUGUUAUUAGCGUUGUUGCUGUAAUACAGUACAUGAGACUACAAACUUUAUAAAGAAAAAGGUUUCUUGAGCUCACAAUUCCAGAGGUCUAAGAGCAUAGCAUGGGCAAUGCUCUUCCCUGAGAGGGCCUCAGGGAAGAGCAAGCAUAUCACAGGGUGAGGGCAGCUACGUGUAUGUGUGUGUGUGUGUGUGUGUGUGUGUGUGAGAGAGAGAGAGAGAGAGAGAGAGAGAGAGAGAGAGAGAGAGGGAGGGAGGAUGCAGGGUAAGAGAGAAAAUAACAGAGAGAGCCAAAAAAGCCAAACUUGCUUCAUAACAAGCCCCUCAAGGUAACCAAUUCUAAGAAACCUCACUCACUCCCUGAAAUGAGCAUUACUUCCUCCCAAGGGUGGUUUUCCCAAUAACCUAAUGACCUCCCACUAGGUGCCACCUCUUAAAGGUUCCACCAUCUCUCGGUGCCAUUGCAAUGGUACCAAGCCUCCAGCACACAAUCUUUUGUAGGGAACAAACCAUAUCCAGCCAUAGUGCCCCCCUUCCCCUGUGAGUCUCAGUAGGAAGCUGUUGAAUGAUCCUAGUGAGCCACAUGGGAGGGGUGCCAAGGAGCCAGCAGGAUGAGAGGCUGAAAGGUCAUCUCUGGAGAACAAACCUGUCUAUCAGCAGGAAGCAGAUGGCAUAGCUGAUGAGGCUCUGAAGCA
rnacentral:lncRNA from 1 species